rnacentral:rRNA from 1 species
AAAAUACGGGAGGCAGCAGUGAGGAAUAUUGGUCAAUGGGCGAGAGCCUGAACCAGCCAAGUCGCGUGAAGGAUGACUGUCUUAUGGAUUGUAAACUUCUUUUGUAGGGGAAUAACGACCGGUACGUGUACCGGAGUGAAUGUACCCUACGAAUAAGCAUCGGCUAACUCCGUGCCAGCAGCCGCGGUAAUUUUU